rnacentral:rRNA from 11 species
GAGUAUACCUAAAUACCCUAAAGACACCAGAUCCUGUCUGAUAUCAUAAAUUAAGAUAAGCAGGGUCCACCCUGGGUAGCAUGUAGAUGGGAGAUCACCAAUGAAUACCAGGUGCUGUAAACU